rnacentral:rRNA from 1 species
UGUAGCCACGGGGGCAGCAGUGAGGAAUAUUGGUCAAUGGGCGAGAGCCUGAACCAGCCAAGUCGCGUGAAGGAUGACGGCCCUAUGGGUUGUAAACUUCUUUUGUCAGGGAGCAAUUGGGUCCACGUGUGGGCUUAGCGAGAGUACCUGAAGAAAAAGCAUCGGCUAACUCCGUGCCAGCAGCCGCGGUAAUAUGGAGGAUGCGAGCGUUAUCCGGAUUUAUUGGGUUUAAAGGGUGCGUAGGCGGAAUAUCAAGUCAGCGGUAAAAAUUCGGGGCUCAACCCCGUCGUGCCGUUGAAACUGAU